rnacentral:rRNA from 1 species
UACGAAGGGGGGCUAGCGUUGUUCGGAAUUACUGGGCGUAAAGGGCGCGUAGGCGGCGUGUCAAGUCAGGCGUGAAAGCCCCGGGCUCAACCUGGGAACCGCGCUUGAGACUGGCAUGCUCGAGUUCGGGAGAGGAUGGUGGAAUUCCCAGUGUAGAGGUGAAAUUCGUAGAUAUUGGGAAGAACACCGAUGGCGAAGGCAGCCAUCUGGACCGACACUGACGCUG